rnacentral:rRNA from 1 species
ACUCAAAUGAAUAGACGGGGCUCCGCACAAGCAGUGGAUCAUGUGGUUUAAUCCGACGCUACGCGCAGAACCUUACCAAGGCUUGACAUCCCUGUCGCAGCCCUAAGAAACUAGGGCGUCAGUUCGGCUGGACAGGUGACAGAUGCUGCAUGGCCGUCGUCAGCUCGUGUCGUGAGAUGUUGGGUUAAGUCCCGCAACGAGCGCAACCCUUGUCGUGUGUUGUAUUUUUCACGCGAGACCGCCCGGGCCAACCGGGAGGAAGGUGGGGAUGACGUCAGGUCUGCAUGGCUCUUACGCCUUGGGCUACACACGUGAUACAAUGGCCGGAACAACGAGUUGCCAACCCGCGAGGGGGAGCUAAUCUCAUCAAAUCCGGUCCCAGUUCGGAUUGUAGGCUGAAACUCGCCUGCAUGAAGUUGGAAUUGCUAGUAACCGUGGGUCAGCACACCACGGUGAAUACGUACCCGGAGCUUGCACACACCGCCCGU